GGCGGUAUGGCCAAGUGGUAAGGCAGUGGAUUGCAAAUUCUCGAUCCCCAGUUCGAAUCUGGGUGCCGCCU
rnacentral:tRNA from 2 species